rnacentral:lncRNA from 1 species
CAAAUCCGAAGAAAGGCGCCGACUUCGACCAGCAAGAGAGCCACGCAGCAUGUAACCUGAAGGUUAAAGGUGAAAAUCGGAAAGCGGUGGACCGAUCGAGCGAAGCCGACGGCUAACGUUCAGCUGGGCUCGAGAUUCCUGCAGACUCUGCCCACUUCCGGAUCCAACAUGGUGGCAGGUGACGUAAAAACGUGGCCUGAAGUGAUCCGCGGACGCCUCCGGCCUCGUGCUUUCAACAGAGCGCAGCGGGAAGUUUGCAGGGGGGUUUGGAGCCUAUCCCAGCUGUUCUAGGUUGAGAGCUGAAUACACGAGUAGCCUGUCAAGACACAAAUCAACCUAGCAUGCCUGCUUUUGGAGGAAACCAGAGUACCCAGAGAGAACCCAUGUCGAGGACAGGUGAGCACAGUGCUAACCACAGCCCCAUCAUGCUGACACAUUAGAUUAAAAUCCCCUUAGAUGCUGCUGUUAUGUACAUAAAAACAAAAGUUGAGCCGUUUAGAGACAACUUUUUAUUUUACAUAAACAAAUCUAACAUGUGGGUUGUCACUGAUUAACGUUCUGUCAAUAUGAUGUUGUGUAAUACAGGCCUAAAAUAAUAUUUACAAUUCCAUAUAAUGUGCUUUUUGCAUAUGCUAAAAUUUUGUUUUACUGACAUCUUUGGGUAUGACUAACACAGAUAUUGGAUGAUCGUUUUUAAGCCCUAUUUUCAUAUCUUCAAUACAAUAACCAAAGCUUCUAAGUCAUCUAGGACACCGGCACAGUUCACAAAGGGCUGUGUGGUUGUGUAGUAAAAGUUUUCACUCUGCAAUAAAUUAGUGUUCAUGUUUGCUACUUUUCACAAUUUUGAAUGUGUUCACAGACAGUUACUCACAAGUGCACUUUAACCCUAAAACCUAAAAAACUUUUUUGUUUAAAAUAUUUAGAGCCGUGUAAACAGGAUACCGCGCCAUGGCAUCAGUGAACUCUUGUUUAUUUCCUCUUCAUAAAUCAUAUUCAUUCAACUUCGUUUCCAUCUAGACUAGCUCUAUACCCCACCAAUGGCUCCCCACCCACAGUUUGACAACCCCUGAUUUAGUGAAACCUGUAAAACGUUCCUUCCUCCACAGACAGACUGGCACAGCUUCAUUUUUGUAAAUCUUUUUCAAUUUUUUCACAUUUUAAUAUGACUUUGCUGUUGAAAUCAGAAGGUCGAGCUGCCACACCGACCGAACCCUGUAUGUUAAACUGAGUCUAUUUUAGUCUUACUGUUGAGCUGUAGUCUCCAGACACCACUGUGCCGCUUUGACUGCUAAGAUUUUCCCAUGGGCUCCACAUAGGUUAUAAAGUCUUGUGCAUGAUUAAACUCCCACACCCACUUUCAGGGACUGAAACAAUAAUUCAGGCUUUGACUUUAGUCCCAGUAACUUAAGCUUCCCAUGUG